UACGGAGGGUGCAAGCGUUAUCCGGAUUUACUGGGUUUAAAGGGUGCGUAGGUGGGUUGGGUAGUCAGUGGUGAAAUACUUUCGCUUAACGAAGGAACUGCCAUUGAUACUCCCAAUCUUGAAUACAGUGGAGGUGGGCGGAAUGCGCAGAUAUCAGGAGGAACACCGAUGGCGAAGGCAGGUCUCUGGGCCACUACUGACGCUGAGAAGCGAAAGCAUGAGGAGCGAACAGG
rnacentral:rRNA from 1 species